GGUAAAAAAGCUCGUAGUUGGAUUUCUGUCAAGUUUCGUCGGUACAAACCACGUUUGAUAUCUGACCGAACCUUGGCAUCCUAUCACGAAACGUUUCUGCGCUUGAUUGCGUGGAACGGGUUGUGGUACUUUUACUUUGAGGAAAUUAGAGUGUUCACGGCAGGCUAUCGCCCGAAUACAUUAGCAUGGAAUAAUACUAUAGGAUUUCGAUUCUAUUUUGUUGGUUUCUAGAAUUGAAAUAAUGAUUAAUAGGGACAAUUGGGGGUAUUCGUAUCAACACGUCAGAGGUGGAAUUCUUGGAUUGUGUUGCGACGAACUACUGCGAAAGCAUUUACCAAGGAUGUUUUCAUUGAUCAAGAACGAAAGUAAGGGGAUCGAAGACGAUUAGAUACCGUCGUAGUCUUUACCAUAAACUAUGCCAACUAGAGAUGGGACAUCGUUCAUUUACGACUUGUUCCGCACCUUAUGAGAUAUCAAAGUCUUUGGGUUCCGGGGGGAGUAUGGUCGCAAGGCUGAAACUUAAAGGAAUUGACGGAAGGGCACCACCAGGAGUGGAGCCUGCGGCUUAAUUUGACUCAACACGGGGAAACUCACCAGGUCCAGACAUAAUAAGGAUUGACAGAUUGAUAGCUCUUUCUUAAUUUUAUGGGUGGUGGUGCAUGGCCGUUCUUAGUUCGUGGAGUGAUUUGUCUGCUUAAUUGCGUUAACGAA
rnacentral:rRNA from 1 species